rfam:Alligator sinensis unplaced genomic scaffold scaffold542_1, whole genome shotgun sequence
ACCAGGAUGGCUAAGUGGUUAAGGUGCUGGAUUUAAGAUCCAAUGGAUGUGUGUUUAUGUGGGUUCAAACCCCACUACUGGUA